rfam:Nippostrongylus brasiliensis genome assembly, scaffold: NBR_scaffold0000148
GUCUCAAUAACAUAGUGGUUAGUGCACAGCCCCGGACAGGUUGAGACACGGGUUCGAAUCCCGCCUGAGAUG